AAAAAGACAAACUCUGGGUUUUCGUGUUCAACUUUGACUGUCCGUCUUAUAUGAAAUUUUUUUAUAAUUCGUAUUUUUAUUGUUGUUAGAUGAUAAAACAUGAUUAAUAUUUUAUACGUGACUUGUCUUUUUAAUUUUUUUCAUAAUUUUUUUAAAUAAGACGGACGGUCAAAAGUUGGGCACGGAAAUCAGGGUUUGUCUUUUU
rnacentral:pre_miRNA from 1 species